UCCGGACUCAAAAGUUGUCUUCUUCUUUUGUCUUCGUCACCCACGGCCAUGACUACAUUAUCUCAAAUUAGCCUUUCGAUUUUUCUGUUCUCUGCAGUUUCAACAUUGAACAGAUACCCACUCUAUAUUCUCUCAUCCGUUUAUGCAAGUGGAUUUUUGUAUGCAAACUGAAUUAUAUAUUUAUACAACCAAGAAGCUUUCAGAGUGAUUUCAAAUGCAAAGUAAAGAGCUUGAGGGGUAGGACUGUUGAUAAGUACAAACAUGAGGCUCUUUAUAUCGACAAACAUGGCAUAUGGCGAAACUUUGAUAACAAAAAGAAACCAAUUUGACUCAAUUCUACCUCAAUCCGAGUCAAUCAUGAACCGGUGGAUUAGGUGAAGACGCCGGAUCACCAUUGUUAACCGCUGGUGACUGAUUGGAAGUACCAGAAUCAAGAGGAGCGUCGACUAGGUCAUGACUCGAUGGAGGUUAUUUUGAUAGGAUGAACAAGAAUCAAGGGAUUGGAGGCGGUGAAAGCGGUGGGUGAGGGUCUAAGGCAGAUUUGUCCGUAAGUUUUUACCGUAAAUCUGUUUUACACGUGAAAUCCAACGUGUUAAGACCUUAAUAUUUCUACUCAACUAUUUCUUGAACAUUAAACGGGAUUCAUGAAUUUUAUUUGUAUUUUCGAUAAAUCACGUAGGACAGAAAUACCUGAUUAUAAAUAAUUUAUUGAUUCAGAAA